rnacentral:ncRNA from 2 species
AAAAACCUGCAAAUUCAAUAUAUUGCAGGAUACGUGUAGGCCU